rnacentral:rRNA from 1 species
AUUGAACGCUGGCGGCAGGCCUAACACAUGCAAGUCGAGCGGAUGAAGGGAGCUUGCGCCUGGAUUCCGCGGCGGACGGGUGAGUAAUGCCCAGGAAUCUGCCUGGUAGUGGGGGAUAACGUCCGGAAACGGGCGCUACUACCGCAUACGUCCUGAGGGUGAAAGAGGGGGAGCGUCGGACCGCACGCUAGCAGAGGGGCCUAGGUCGGGUUAGCUAGUUGGUGGGGUAAGGACCUACCAAGGCGACUAUCGGUAACUGGUCUGAGAGGAUGAGCAGUCACCCUGGAACUGGGACACGGUCCAGGCGCCUGCGGGAGGGCGCAGAGGGGAAUGUUGGACAAUGGGCGAAAGCCUGGUCCAGCCAUGCCGCGUGUGUGAAGAAGGUCUUCGGAUUGUAAGGCACUUUAAGUUGGGAGGAAGGGCAGUAAGUUAAUACCUUGCUGUUUUGACGUUACCAACAGAAUAAGCACCGGCUAACUUCGUG